UACGGAGGGUGCAAGCGUUAUCCGGAUUCACUGGGUUUAAAGGGUGCGUAGGAGGGCAGGUAAGUCAGUGGUGAAAUCUCCAAGCUUAACUUGGAAACUGCCGUUGAUACUAUCUGUCUUGAAUGUUGUGGAGGUGAGCGGAACAUGUCAUGUAGCGGUGAAAUGCUUAGAUAUGACAUAGAACACCAAUUGCGAAGGCAGCUCACUACACAAUUAUUGACUCUGAGGCACGAAAGCGUGGGGAUCAAACAGG
rnacentral:rRNA from 1 species